AAGAGAUUCUGUGUUUCUAGAGCUGCACUAUCUAUGAUGAGCACCCCCAAGUUGGGUUACUUGGUCGAAAUUGUUGACGAGUGUGCAGUUUUGGUUGGUUUGAAUGUGGUUCUGGGUUUAAGCUCUGUGUUGGCAGAGAUCAAUGAUUGGUCUAGACCGUCACCAGUUGUUAUGGAACAGUGCCAGGAAGCUCUUUCUUGUAUGUAUUACUUGCUUCAGCGAUUUCCG
rnacentral:misc_RNA from 1 species